CCCCUUAGAUGUUCUGGGCCGCACGCGUGCUACACUGAGUGGAUCAGCGGGUCAGGUUGCGCGAAAGUGUUUCCUAAUCUUGAAAUCCGCUCGUGAUGGGGAUUGACGGUUGCAAUUUUCCGUCAUGAACGAGGAAUACCUUGUAAGCGCGGGUCAUCAUCCCGCGCUGAAUACGUCCCUGCCCUUUGUACACACCGCCCGUCGCUCCUACCGAUUGAGUGGUCCGGUGAGGCUUUGGGAUCUGAGCAAAGAGAGCGUUUCGCUCGUUUUGCCCGGAAAACUCAGUCGAACCUUAUCAUUUAGAGGAAGGAGAAGUCGUAACA
rnacentral:rRNA from 1 species